GCCUGGAGGAACUCGGCCAGCCUCCCCUCCAUCUGUGCUGUGGCCUGGUGGAUCACAAGAGACCGGGAGCAGUGGAGAACUGAGACGCGGGACUUUGAACCAACCAAAAGGUGUUAAAGGCUGGACUCACCUUUGAGAGUGAGGAUUGGCUGUUUUUGAGACUAAUACUCUGUACUGGAGAAAGAGCGCUCUCUUUCGACGGAACCCAGAGGGCUUCAGGCUGGAUCCUGAGGAGCCCGGGACCAUCACGAAGACCGCGAUCGUGAGCCUUGAUCGUUUUGUUUUACUUUUCUUGCCAUUAAAUAUUGUUUAACUUAA